rnacentral:lncRNA from 1 species
GGAGAAUCGCUCUUGGGGAGUUCCCUGGAAGGGAAGCAGCAGCAGGGGCCAGAAGUGAAGGAGGCUUAGUUGCUGGCAGCUGGGAGGCUGUACUUGCUUCUGGGGUUGGCUUUGCAAGGUGAAUGCAAAGGAAGAGACACAGAUAGUUGGUGGUGUGGGGAGAGCCCCAUGGGCUUACGCCCCAGACGGACCUAAGCAGACAGACCAGAGCAGCCUCUGGGAGGGAGGGACCCACAGACUCCGGAAACCCACCCAUGCGCUUUGUGGCUCUAUCUCCUGAGUCUCUGAGGCCAGCAGCCUAGCCACACCUCUACCUGUAGGUGGCACCAGGCCCCCUUGAUGGUUAGCCAUAUAUAGCCAACACUUCUCCCAGAGUACCCUCCUUAUUACCAAACUGUCAAACAGCCAGAAAGGGCUAGCCUGUGCCCUUCCUCGGGUUCUGAGUCCUACGCAAGAGGAUGGAACAGGUGCCGCCUGGGUCAGCAGGUCAUCUUGAGGACGUGUGAGGUCAUCCUGGGAACAUGUGUUACUGUGACCUGGACUUUCCAUGCAAGCGUGUGCACUUAUGCACUGGACGUGAUGUCACGCCACGCGUCACCCAUGGGACGGACACGGCCCGAGAACGCCUCCGCUCAGAUCUGAGACUAUGAUCGCCGCGCUCAAACAUGCCGUCUUCUGCUCUGAUUGAAACAGGAUAGCUCGAUUAUGGAAAACAAAGGCUUGUAAUCUUCCCGUACUACCAUUCCCCAGCACAUAUCAAAUUAGUAUAUCUUUGGAUUGGAUCGUGUUACAAUUUAAAACAUUUAUCUUUAUUUUAUGUGUGUGGGUGUUUCGUCUGUGUGUAUACAUUGCUCUGUGUGCAUGCACUGUGUGUGUGGAGAGCAGAAGAGCGUGUCACAUCCCUAGAGCUGGAGUUAUAGACAUUUUGAGUCACCUGAUACAGACGCUGGGAACUGAACCCAAGUCCUCUGGAAGAUCAGCAGUGCUCCCACUUUCCAACCCCCAACUUUUCUAAAAAGGGAGAAAAAAAA